UUCUCACAGUAAUGGUUUUGUUUAAAAUCGACGCCUGCGAGACAGAGAUACGGGAGGCAUGGUGGUGUGAGGGAGAGGAAAGAUGAAAGUGCAUACGUUCCCGCCAAGAGAAAAGUGAUUCAGAAAUUGAGUCGAGAUGUAGUUUACUCACUGUCAACAGUUUGUGUUGUGGUGUCUGCGAGCGAGGAUUUGAAUUUGGAAUAGUGUGAAAUUCAAAAAAAUAACGUUUAUCAAAGUGUAAAUAACUAAUCGUUUGAUAUUAAAAGUACCCGCAAAUAUUUUAUAUCACCAACAAAGCGAUUGAAUGUAUGUGAAGGUCAAGUGACAAAUUAAACAUUCGAGAACAAAGAUAUAAUAAAUGACGUUACAAUUUAUUAGUGUCACCUUACGUUUGGUUAACGAAUCACUUUGAAGACGGAAACAAGAAAAUUUUCUAGAAACUUUGAAGGCUUUCACGGAUACUAUGUUUUCGAGAUUUUCCUAAAGAUGGCGCUGUGGUACUGCGAAAAAACAUAAUUUGAACACGUUAUUGAAUCGCAAUGGAAAAUACGAUGUGGCUACGAACUGAGGUCAAGCUCAUUAAAACUUUAAGGGACAUCGUGCAAGAGCUUUUGCGAAAGAGGGACGGACAAUAAACUGUUCAUAAAUCUAAAUUGCUCUUAGCUUCAUGAAAUCGGGGCUCUCGGACCGAAGAUAACUUUAACUGCGAGUAUGAAUUUGAAUUGAAAUGGCGUCUGAUAAGAUUAUAUGUUUAUUUGCCCAUACUAGUGAUUAUCGUCGUCAAUUACAGAGCUUCAACUUCCAAAAAACUCUCUUUAUAUGUAUACAGAUUGCAAAUAAUUAAUAAUAAUGCAAAGAAGCAAAAAAAGGAGGAGAGCGAGGAGGACGCUAAAGAAAACGCUAGAGAAAAGCAAAUGGCGCCGCAUGACUGGAAAUUCCAAGUACAAGAUGAAGAGAUAACUAGAUACUAAGACUUCUUUCGAAGAAAAUCAGAAGUAUAAGACCUGAGCAGCAGUAGAUAACGCUUACGUGAUGCUGGUGCCGGGCGCUUUCCUGUGUCCUGACUGCGUUUUAGGCCCAGGGGAAAACACGCCGAUAUGAAUACUUGCCGAUGCAGAAAAACAUUUCAGAGAUGCAGCAGCAGUGGAGAAACACGGUGAAAGAAGAGCGAAGAUUGAAGACUGAAGAUAAAAGAAGACUGAAGAUAAAAGAAGAAUACUUGGCACAUUCGUGAUCUACCCUGUAGAUCCGGGCUUUUGUAGCGUUGUUUACAUCAGAAGCUCGUCUCUACAGGUAUCUCACGGCUGGAAGACCUCGCUACUUUAAACAACGCCAGAAAAGAGAAGAUUACUUUUGAGAGGAAGAGUAGCUUAAAGUUAUUACUAAUGGAAAUAGACAUCGUCCGGCAAAUUAAAAAGAAAAAUCGGAGGGCAUUCCCCUAAAUUAUAGUGUUAUAGUGUAAAUUUUGGAAGAAUCAGUUUGAUACAUCUAAUAUUUUUUUAAAUAUCAGGUAUGUUUACACGUGCGUAUUUUAAACAAAAAUUUGUAGAUUUCUUUUUAUUUGCUGGGCGAUUUCAAUAGCCAAAUCAUAGUAUUUUUUCUAUUAGUGAGUAAAGAAAUUAAAAAGUUUUAAAACUGUAACUCUACAUAUAAACCAAUAAUUUUUAACAAGGUUUUAGUCAGUUUCACGUAAAUAUUAUCGUAAGGCCCAGGAACAAAACAUUUAUUCGUGUUCUCAAACUUUGCUUGUUUGUUUGUUUGUUACUUUCCGACCUUUGACCGCCUUAAUCCAGCCUUCUCACAAAAUUCGUUCUUAGUGGACCUCUACUAUCUAAACUAAGUCUCUUCCAAAUUUCAUCUUUGUACAUCAAGCAGUUUAUGAGAUUUCGUGAUUAUCGCAUUUAUAUAUUAAGGUUACACAAGACAAUGUAUAAGGUACAAAGGCGAAAUAUAAUGCCUUGUAAUAUUUUCUACCAGUUUUAUUUGUGUAUGUGAUAUUCAUGUGGAGGGGCAUUUUCAUUCCAAACCAUCGUCCAGACUUGCAUCCAACCACUUAUUUGCCAUCUGAAAAUUGACUACUUAUUUUUAAAUAUAUUUCUUGCUCUUUUCAUGCAAUAGAGAAAGAAAUAUAAUCUGGCUCUAAGCUUAAAUAAUUUUCAUCUUAUAAAAACACCAACUACCAACCCUAUAAAUAACUUAAAUCCGUUAUUAAUUCUUCAUCAUAAUCAUUACCAUUAUCAUCAUUAACAGGCGAUGGACGUCCACUGUCGGACAUAGGCCUCUUGUAUGGACUUCCAAAUAAAACGGUCUCGAGCCACCAGCAUCCAACGGCUCCCUGCAACCCGUUUGAUAUCCUCGUUCCAACACUGCGCUCCCCGGUGCGAGGUCGCCAUUCUAGCAUCUUGGGACUUCAACUUCCAUCGGCUCUUUGAACUGUAUGCCCUACCCAUUGCCACUUCAGCUUCGUCAUUGGCAACCUCACUAUUGAGCACAAGUUUCCUCUCAGAAUGAGAGGGGAAAAUUCUCAGGUAUGCAGGUUUCCUCAAGAUGUUUUUCCUUCAGCAUUUGAGAAACGUGAUAUAUUUUUUUUAAUGCAUAUAACUGAAAAGUUAAGAGGUGCAUGCGUCGUACAGGCGACUGUCCCAGAUACAUGCUAUCUGAAAAAUGAUUUUAACAAUAAAAUAUUGCACAAACUUAAGUACUGAAGUUGUAUUUUUUGGUGCCGCUACUCAAAACAAAGUUUGAACAUUAUGCUCACAAAUUAUUAUUUUGUUCUUGGGCUACUAAAACAUUCUUACCGUAUUUUUCUUGUUAUUACCGUAUGCUAUGCAUAUUUUUUAUUCUGUUUGACGAUAUUUUCAUCAAUGUCAAUGUCAAAUUAGGUAGAUUGUUCAAAUUACUUAUGCGGGUUAGGUACGUACAGUCGGUUACAGUUUUAGAAACCUGUUAUUCUUAAUUAUUAUAUAUAAAAUGUCCUAUUUGUCGGUUAUUCUUCUGUUUAGCUGGCCUAUUUCCUAUUUUGGUUUUUAUUAUCAACCCAUCAAAAUAAAAAACAAAUCAAUUGACAAAAUGUCAUCCACAUAAAUUACUUAGUAUCUGUCAACUUUAUCACAGCACAACAAAACACAACAUAUCAAGCACAGAAAAUUCGUAAAUUAUAAAUAUAAUACGAAUCCGGGUGUUGUUAAAUCUGCCAUUAGAUGGCGUUAGUGUGUUCGUUUAGUAUUAAACGCUGAAAUGGCUGAUGCUUUAAUUUUCGCUCCUUUGUUUAUCAAACACAGAAAAUUCGUAAAUUAUAAAUAUAAUACGAAAACUGGAGUUGUUAAAUCUGCCAUUAGAUGGCGUUAGUGUGUUAAGUUUAGUAUUAAACGCUAAAAUUACUGAUACUUAAAUUAUCGCUCCUUCGUUUAUCUUAAUAUUAUUUUAUUUUACAUUAGGUACUUUUUAAAAUUGGCUUUCUGUCGUUUGGUCCAGUCAAUAUAAUUAAAUGUUCCAUUUAUGUCACAUCGGGUUUCUUUGUAUAAUAGGAAUGGAUGAAAACCUUUUGAUAAAAGAGAAGAAGUUUUGUUUUUUUAUAAAGUAUAAAGUUCGUGCUCUUACAAACUUUAGCGUUCAUAGUAUUAGUGGGUUUAAUGUGUUAUUGUGAUAGCUCCAUGCAAUUUUAUUUUGGCAACAUUUAUUUUAUUCCUAAUUUUCUUUUUCUCACACAAACUGUCAUUUCUUAACCCAUAGGAACUCUGACGUCUUCUGGGAUAAAAGUAUUCAAAUAUUAUUCCAAUUUAGCAAACACCUGCAACUUCGUUAGAAAUGUCCCAAGAUCCGUUAAUACAUCCAUGCAUCCAUACAAACUUUUGUGUUUGAAAUAUUAGUGGGAUUACAAAGGUCUGGCAAUUUCAGCUAUUUAUGUUGUGUUGUUGUUUACAGAAAUUGUAGCAAUAUAUUAAUCGUUUUGAUCAAAAGUUCGCUUUGUAUCUAUGUAUGGGACCACCUACACCUGUUUUAACUAUUAUUUAUUUUAAGUUUAUAUCAAUGUUAUAUUUUGUAUGGCAGGCAGUAGUUAUUUAGUUUUAAUAAGAUUUUUUAAAAUUUCUAUAUACAUAUGGAUUAUUAUGCCUUAUUUAACUCACGUGGUAUAUCAUUGGUGAUGUCGUGUGUGGUGACACACGAUAUCGCUCUUGUCGUGUAAUAAUAAAACACAUAAGCUGUUUCAUAAUAUAAUGUUUUGCAAACACAGAGUAACCAGAGAGAGUUUUUACAAACUGCGUGCUGAAGCCGGUGUAAUCCAUAAAAAGAAACAAAAGUUACGCGUCUCAUUGACAUCCGCUUAUACAAACUUUUUUCAUAAUAUGCAUUUCAAAAUUUAACACUAAAAACAAUUACUUAAAAUAAUAUAAUAACCAAUAAAAAAUACUCUAUAUUGUUUCUUUAGUUUUUGUGUUUUUUAAAAAUACAGUUUUUAAAAUAUUAAAAAACGUACGACGCCAUUUUUCUUGAAUAAUAUUGAAAAUUACUGAUGCGACGGUUCGUAUCGUACUGACAAGAAAACGUAUUCGUUUUUGAAUUUUGUAUCCGUGACGGGUACGACACCGUCUCGUUCCGUACGCUACAUCUGUACAAUAUUGAUUAUUCUGUGUUUGCAAAAUGGCGACCGACCUGACUUGACCGCGACGUUAGUUCCAGUUUUGGCCACCGGGUCCGAAAGUUUGUGGCGCUAUAGACGUAGCGUUAUUUUAAGUAAGUACAUUUUUAAACUUAGUAAAGCUUUUUAUAAAAAAAGCUUGUCCGGAAAUGUGUGCUUAUUUCUGCUACCAUCGCGUAACGCUGUUCCAAUCUGAUUGAUAUUUGUGCCAAAACAGGCACUUACGGCACUACUACGCCCCAGGUAUGGCCACAGGGCGGCAUUUUGUACUACGUGUUCUUACGAAGUGUUGUUUUGCUUACAAUUUUCCAUUUACCAUGAGCUUAGCUAUCUGCUUGGUCCGUCGUUUGUAACUUUAAAAAUAAAUAUUAUGUUUUUGAAAAAUAAAUAUUAACUUUAUAAACUGAAUUAUUAUAUUAUCAUAAUAAAGUGUUAAAGGGAAUUACUUGAAACAAUUUUUUUCUGUGAAAAUCACACUAAUCCAGGCUACAGACCUGCAAUUCAAACUGUGCAGUCUUAACUGUACAGUCGAACUGUUCAUUUAAAACAACCGCGUGUAGGCAAAACGGAGAACUGUACAGUUAUUAGUUAACUGUUUUUUUACGAUUUAGAUUGAAAUUUCGAUAAAAUAAAAAUGUAAGGUCUGUAGCCUGGAUAUAAAACUCUAUUACAGCCUUUCUUGAGCCUUUCUUUCUUUCUUUACCAACAAACAAAUUGAAAAUGAGGGUAUAAAUAAAUCACUAGUCAUUUCACACUUAAUAAUUAUUAUAAUUAACUUGUUCUUAAAUAUUAUGACAAUAAAUUUGAUUAAUAAGCUUGGAACAAUAAGAUGUGGUUAAUGUAUUUUAUAUAACAUUUUAUAAACAAACCAUACAUAAUUUUAAAUAAAUAAGUUAUGAAAUGACUUGCGUUUUCCAUCUUCAUUUCUAAUUUCUUUGUUGGUAAACAGUAUUCAUCAAGAAAGGCUAUAGUAGUAUAGUAGUUUAUAGAUUAUUCUCUACUUGACUCAUUGUUAUUUUUAACCGACUUAAAAAAGGAGGAGAUUUUCAAUUCGACGCGUAUGUUUUAUUUUUUUAAUGUUCCUUAUAACUUAGUAAUUUAUUUGAAAUAUUUUGGUUUGAAAGAAUAUAAUUUCAGAUUGGUCUCAUUAUUUCGUUUUCAUGAAAUUCGUUUUAGUAAUUUUGUGUUAAAAUCUAAAUAACUGAAAUAGGUCUUUGAAGUCGGUUCCAUUUUUAUGUUAAAAAUAUUAUUUUAUUUAACGCAACACCCGUUUACCAUUGUUAUUGUAAUUGAUUAUUUUAAUGAUGAAUUUAUGUUAUUUAAAUAACCAACAGAAACUUACUGUAAAAGUUAAGUCUCUUUUAUCAUUGAUUCAAGUUCUGUCUGCUGUACUACUUUAACUUUUAUUGUUAACUUGUUUUAAAUGUAAUAAACAUUUUAAGUACGUCUGUAAUUUGACCAAUUGUUCUUCAGUUCUUAACUGAAAUAGAUAAAUGACUUCCACGGCCCACAGUUAAAUUUUGUCCACGUUGUGAAAUUCAAUUAGGGGCAGUAUUUUCAGAAAAAAUAUUUAAUAAAUGGGAAUUGUGUA